rnacentral:rRNA from 1 species
GACGAACGCUGGCGGCGUGCUUAACACAUGCAAGUCGAACGGAAAGGCCCUGCUUUUGUGGGGUGCUCGAGUGGCGAACGGGUGAGUAACACGUGAGUAACCUGCCCUUGACUUUGGGAUAACUUCAGGAAACUGGGGCUAAUACCGGAUAGGAGCUCCUGCUGCAUGGUGGGGGUUGGAAAGUUUCGGCGGUUGGGGAUGGACUCGCGGCUUAUCAGCUUGUUGGUGGGGUAGUGGCUUACCAAGGCUUUGACGGGUAGCCGGCCUGAGAGGGUGACCGGCCACAUUGGGACUGAGAUACGCCCCAGACUCCUACGUGAGGCAGCAGGGGAGAAUAUUGCACAAUGGGCGGAAGCCUGAUGCAGCAACGCCGCGUGCGGGAUGACGGCCUUCGGGUUGUAAACCGCUUUCGCCUGUGACGAAGCGUGAGUGACGGUAAUGGGUAAAGAAGCACCGGCUAACUACGUG